UACGAAGGCAGCAGUGGGGAAUAUUGCACAAUGGGCGCAAGCCUGAUGCAGCCAUGCCGCGCGUAUGAAGAAGGCCUUCGGGUUGUAAAGUACUUUCAGUCGUGAGGAAGGUGUUAAGGUUAAUAACCUUAGCAAUUGACGUUAGCGACAGAAGAAGCACCGGCUAACUCCGUGCCAGCAGCCGCGGUAAUACGGAGGGUGCGAGCGUUAAUCGGAAUUACUGGGCGUAAAGGGCACGCAGGCGGUUAAUUAAGUUGGAUGUGAAAUCCCCGGGCUUAACCUGGGAAUGGCAUUCAAGACUGGUUAGCUAGAGUCUUGUAGAGGGGGUAGAAUUCCAUGUGUAGCGGUGAAAUGCGUAGAGAUGUGGAGGAAUACCGGUGGCGAAGGCGGCCCCUGGGACAAAGGACUGACGCUCAUGUGCGAAAGCGUGGGGAGCAAAC
rnacentral:rRNA from 1 species